rnacentral:rRNA from 1 species
GUGAGGAAUAUUGCGCAAUGGGGGAAACCCUGACGCAGCAACGCCGCGUGGGUGAAGAAGGCUUUCGGGUUGUAAAGCCCUGUCAGGCGGGAAGAAACCUCUGUAGUCGAAUAGGCUGCAGAACUGACGGUACCGCCAAAGGAAGCACCGGCUAACUCCGUGCCAGCAGCCGCGGUAAGACGGAGGGUGCAAGCGUUGUUCGGAAUCACUGGGCGUAAAGCGCGUGUAGGCGGUCUGAUAAGUCGAGUGUGAAAGCCCGAGGCUCAACCUCGGAAGUGCAUUCGAAACUGUCAGGCUUGAGUACGGGAGAGGGAAGUGGAAUUCCUGGUGUAGAGGUGAAAUUCGUAGAUAUCAGGAGGAACACCGGUGGCGAAGGCGGCUUCCUGGACCGAUACUGACGCUGAGACGCGAAAGCGUGGGGAGCAAACAGGAUUAGAAACCCUUGUAGUCC